AAGAGAGCAAAGCAGCGACCGGUCUCUUUGGGCUGAUGGCACUCUGUGGAAGGAAAGAAAACAUUUCAAUAAGGACUUUCUACAAUUACGCAGUCACUCACGUUCGAGCGCACGUACACUUGGGCUGGUGUGGCGCGGCGUAUGACGCGCAGCAAAGCGCUCCAACUCAUUAGUAGUGAAGGCGGGUUUUCUCGCUGUGCCUUGGCUUGCAUAAGCGAUGCGCAGGCAGGUGUGACCGAGCGACCACAGCUAUCGACGACAGACGGCAGCUGCGAAAAAUGAAGCUUAGCCAGCGUUAACCGGCUAAUUUGCAAGCUCAAAAGUCAGGUGCGGCAUCAACACUUACUUAUCAAUGUCAAUGAUCGUCGGCGCUUAGCAGCCGUGCGGGUGGGUUUCAUGUGUAUGUAUAUUUGCCGUGUUGUUGUUUUUGUAAGCUGUGUGUACAGCCUUCAAAUUGCACUUUUAUCGUACCUACCUGCUUUAAAUUAAAUAAUAACAAUAAAUUGCAAAUACUAAA